AGUGGAAUAGCUGGGUCAAAUGGUGGUUCCAUUCCAAGUUUUCCAAGGAAUCGCCAUACUAUUUUCCAGAUUGGUUGCACCAAUUUGCAAUCCCACCAGCAAU
rnacentral:pre_miRNA from 1 species